AGAAACCCAUCUCUUCAAGUCUUAUGAUCUAUCAAGUGUACAGGUUCUAUUUUCUCCCUCUGAUUCUCCUGCUAAGUUCCUACAUAGCUCCAUUUUCCUCAUGCUUUUUUGUUGUUGUUGUUGUUGGAUUUUAACCUCUUUGCUUUUGCAUAUCAUACCAGUAGGUUUGAUCUAACCAAUCUAACACUGUCAAAUAACCUUGGCAAACAGCUCUGGGAUUCCUAAGCACUGCAUCCUGAAGUACCUGUGGCCUUCUCGAAUUGUUACCAGAAUUUGUCAUGUUUGGUACAUAAGUGAAAUUAUCAUUUAGAGCUGUACAUUUUCCCAAGGAUGUUAAAUGAGAGUAGAAGUUUGGUGUUACAGUUUCUACAGUUUCUGCUGACUUAUGUGAAUCUAUAUGACAAAUGACUGGUUAUUAAAAUAAGGAAUUUUGACUUUCAUGCUGUGUGGGUAGCAUUACUCUCGAACUACAUACUCAACAUGUUUAUAAAGUGGAGCCAUUUUCUUGAGUUUACAUAGAUAUCUCCAGGUAGAAAAACUGACUGUCCUGUGGCUACAUGUUUACCUACUGCUGCUUUUAUCUUUCAUUCUUGUUCUGGUGUGCAAGACACUGUGCUAAUGAUGAACGAUAACCCCUUCCUCAGAUUUACAGUCUAAUUCGUUUAUGCUUAUUCCCAUGGUGACUGCUAUGCUCAGAAUUUACUUAGUGGGGUUGGAUUCUGAAGCAUUGAGGAUUUUAUAGAACUGUAAAACAAGUUUUUGAAGAAAGACAUUCACAUGGGCUAUUGUCAAGAAAUCUGAUUUAAAUAACGAAUCUGAUGAAGCGUGGUAUAGUUAGAAAAAGUGAUCCUUUCAGAUGCAAAAUUGGGCUUAUGGCAACAAGGUCGUGUCUUAUUCAAGAAUUACAUGUCAGAUGCCAGUUACAUUUUGAAGCAAAUAAAAUUAAAUGCAGAAAUGUUACAAUAUUGCUACCUAUUUUAUAUAGUUAGUUACUUAUUAUUCUGCUCUUAAGUUGACAACCUCCAUAUUUUUCAUUUUUAAGCUUUUUUUCAGAAUUUAUUCCUGAAAAUAAGUUCCACAGAUACAUUGUUAGCACUUUGUUCAGUUCCUAAAUAAUGAUUGCUGUGUUUAUGUCAGCUCUCCUGCAUGGAAUAUUUUCCUUGAAAUUGUGUUGCUGUAAAAGCUUAAGUCUUCAUACAGAACAGUUUUAUCUACAGCAGGUAAUAAUAGAUACUGAUCCCAGACUGGCAGGGCUUUUUUAUCAAGGUCUGUGGUUUUGACUAACUGCUUUAUCCUCCUCUCCCUUCAUGUACACAACUUAAAGCACUGACUCUGCCCUUGCCUAGGGGUGACAAGAACCUUUACCUUAGGUAAGGCUGCAAAUUCUGCUUAGACUUGAAUUUUCAAAGUGCCUGGUUUUUCUUAUAAACAGAGUGGCGGGAUCCAGAAUUCAUGAGAGAAGUCGAAGCAGCCACUGGAGUGGAUCUUGGUUCCUCUAAAAGUAGUGGGAAAGGAGGAAAAAAGAAAGGGAAGAAGAAAUACCCAAAUCUGACAGACCUGAAGCAGCAGGCUAACACUGCUCGUUCCCGGCUUGAGAAGAUAGUCUUCAAUAAAGGUGCUGUCAAACGAGUGGUGAAAGCAAUGAAUCAGAUGGACCAAAGAAAGCAUGAGAAGUUUGCUAACCAGUUUAACUACGCGCUGAAUUAAGUUGUAACAAAAUGCAAAGAAGAUGAACAAGAAUGCAACUGUACAAAGCCUUUCGCACAGUCCUCCAUGUUUGAAAUACUGUGCUGUGUGCAUUUUUACUGGGAUCACUUUUUAAAAUGUUUUUAACUUCUAAUUUAUUUUACAAUUAACAUGAAUUUUGGCAAAGAUGUGGUAGUAUGUAAUGGACUUAAUACACUUAAUGAUAAGUAUUGGAAAUUUACCUGAAAUAGAACUUAUUUUGUGACUUGUACAUACUCUGAGUAAGAUGUCCAGGGCCUUUUUGCCUUUCUAAAGGACCAGUGUCACUUACACAUUGUUUGCCAGAACAAUUAUGAUUUGCCUUGACUUUCAUACCUUCAGAAAGAUGCCUUAGAAACAGUUUGAUUUUCACUCAAGGUGGUAACACACAGGCUAUUUUCUCAGCCUUAUGUUCUAGAAAGACUACUACAUCAAGCAGCCCACUAGCUCCAGCAGCUCUGAUGGCUUCUUGCACAUGAAGUGGAAAAAGCCAAACCCAUUCGUGGUCAGAAGACAAUUUGAUUUCAGCAGGAUUACAAGUCACUUCAAACUCAGUAGCUGUGGCAUCAGUGUAGAAGCUGAAAUUAAGUUGGUCUUGAUCUCCUUCUUGUCUUCCCGCUACUUUCUGAAAUGAGUUUGGAAAGCAUGUUAUGAGAAGUUGUGGAGAUACUUAAAAUGUGCUGGAGUUUAAGAGGUGCCAAAAAAGCUGCAUUACAAAGAGGUUUUUUAAGAAAAUUACUCAGGUGGCUUACUAAGUGAACUGCCUGGCUUCAAUCAGUUGGAAAAAAAAGUAACCAGUUUAAGUUACAUUAGUUUCAGUCCUAGGAGUGUAUGUAGGGACCUAAAUAAACACAAACACCUGAAUUCUUUUAACACAUUGGAUCCAGAUGCUUGGUAUCUGUGUGGCUUAUUAUUGACAGAGUGUUUAGCUCAAUCUCUCAUAACUGCUUUGCUGGCUAUCAUCAUCAUGUCAGCAGUAGAAUGAAAUGAAAUAAACACUGGCUGGUUGUGCUCUUGUGGGGUUUCAGACAGCUUUAUCAGUGAAGGAAGUUGAGAGUAUCAAGGAAGAUAGUGUUUGAACUGAAUUUCAAAACGAAAGUAGAAGUCUUCAGUAAAACACAAAACACAAGUUAGAAUGGAUUCUCUACAGCACCAGCUUAGUUACUCACCUGCUUGAAAUACUUCCUUGUACAGCAGGAGACUCCCUAAGAAUUUAAAAUGAAAUCCUGUGUAGGUUUUGACCACUUCAGACAAGAGCUAAUUUACAGCUCUGCCAUGUAUCUGUUGACUUGCACAAGUAUUGCUAAGAAAGCAAGCAAUGAUAAUUUAAUCUUCCAGAUCUUUGCAGUUUGGAAGACUUUUUUCUCUCCAACACAUAUUUAGAAGAAUACUUCUACACUAUGACAAAUAAUAAAUAGCCAGCAGCUGUUAAAGCAGGAAUUUCUUAUUUAUUUACUGCACUGGAAACCAAAGCUGUGUCUACUAGCCAUCUAGCUAACAGUGAAGGCUGCAGCUGAAAGCACAGACUAGGACAGACCAUACUCAUCACCAGAGCAGCUGAACCAACUGAUCAACUGGUUUUAUUUAUUGGCAAAGACAAAAAACAAAAAGCAACAACAGAGCUCAUGUACUGCAAUGCAAUGUAGCCUAAUGGACACUGAUAUUACAAAAUAGUCCAUAUGGAAGUGCUUGAUCUUGGAGAUAUUAAUAUUUAUGAGAGCCAUAGUAGUUACUAUUCCAUCGUUUGAGACUUCUGAGCCUGCACAGACUGAUGGUCUUCAUUUGUAUAGGUGUCUUUCUACUGAUCUCUGUAAAAAAGGGGAGAAACAGUGACAUGCAACCUUUUGACAUGAAGUAUCAGCACAAGCAAGCUUCUGGCAAACAGUGGGCAUACUUUAGCUCGUAGUGUUUCCACUUUGAGUUUUCAGUAAAACAAAAAGCCCUCAUGACCAAGAUUAGAAAAAGGAAUGGUUUAAAGCUGUGAGAAAAUAAUAUGCCAAGCAAAUUAUACUCAUUUACAAUGCUUCUUAAGAGUCGUACGAGUUCUAGAAUUAUCAGCUGAAACUUCUUUAUUCUUGUUUUGAUGCAAGGACUUUGCUAUUUAGUUAAUGACAAGGAUUUAUAUACCCACUUGGGUAUGAAGUGUCUCUUCAUGUUUUGGCCUUGAAGCAGGAGAGACAGCUGGCUACUCCAAAGUGCACAUCAAGUGCACUGCCUCCCUAACUCUACUUUUAUGUUAGCCUGACCUUUUUACCAUCAAGGAUCUUCCCUUCAUCCAUAGCGUUUGAAGAAACACACGCUUCCCCUCCCAUAUUAAUUAUUGCCUCAUUACUCAAAGGCUUUGCCAAGUUCCACUUUUAGGAGUAUACAUACAACAGAUUUUGCCUUUGUAAACAUUCUCAUUAGAACUGGUCAGACAUAAUUCAGCAAAAUGUAAGAGCUUCCUCCUUUUUCUGGGUUCAUCUGUGGCUCUGAUGGAGACAAAAAAAAAUAAAGACAUCUAUCACCAGUGAUAUCACCAGAAAGCAAGAACUUCUCCAUGCUUAUUCUUAGUAGCACGAUUGCAUUGGGCAAGUAAAAACUCGAAAGGAAGAAACUAGCAUGUAUAAAUUUGGUGCUGAUGAAGGUGGGAAUGAAGGUGCUGACCCUCUAAUAGAAAGCACCAUGACAAACACAAGUUUGGUAUGAAGUUUAUGAGCAAAACACGAGCACAUCUCUCUGAAGUUACUGAUAUAGAAUGAUGGGGCCAUGCUCAUCUCUUACAUGAUAACUUGCAGUUUUAUUAUCAAAACUUAUUUUAGGCUUGGCUGAAAAAUUCUAUUAGAAAAGUGUAACCCUUAAAUGCUCCUAAAAUGUAUUUACUUAAAUAAGAAAAAACAGGAUUUGGUUCUGCGUGGACAGCAUGUCAUACUGUGUAAAAUAAUCUGUAGGUUGGUGGCAUCUGUAUGUUCAAGAUGACAUUAAGGAAAACAAAAGAAAUUUUUUUAAAAAAGUUCAAAUUAAAGCACUGAGAAAGUG